rnacentral:rRNA from 1 species
UCGUGAGACAGUUCGGUCCAUAUCCAUCGCGGGCGUAAGAUACAUGAGGGAGGCUGCUCCUAGUACGAGAGGACCGGAGUGGACGGACCAACGGUGUACCGGUUGUCCUGCCAAGGGCACGGCCGGGUAGCUGCGUCCGGAAGGGAUAAACGCUGAAAGCAUCUAAGCGUGAAGCCCGUCCCGAGAUGAAGUAUCUCAUUCCUAUAAGGAAGUAAGACCCCUUGAAGAAGACAAGGUUGAUAGGCUGGAUGUGGAAGCACAGCAAUGUGUGCAGCUGACCAGCACUAAUCGGUCGAGGGCUUGACUUAAGU